GUGAAACUGCGAAUGGCUCAUUAAAUCAGUUAUCGUUUAUUUGAUAGUAACUUUAUUACUUGGAUAACCGUGGUAAUUCUAGAGCUAAUACAUGCUAAAAGUCCUGUCAAAGGGAUGUAUUUAUUAGAUAAAAGACCAAUGCUUCUUCGGAAGCUCUUUGGUGAUUCAUGAUAACUUUUCGAAUCGCAUGGCCUAGAGCUAGCGAUGGUUCAUUCAAAUUUCUGCCCUAUCAACUUUCGAUGGUAGGAUAGUGGCCUACCAUGGUUUCAACGGGUAACGGGGAAUUAGGGUUCGAUUCCGGAGAGGGAGCCUGAGAAACGGCUACCACAUCCAAGGAAGGCAGCAGGCACGCAAAUUACCCAAUCCCGACACGGGGAGGUAGUGACAAUAAAUAACAAUGCAGGGCUUUUAUAGUCUUGUGAUUGGAAUGAGUACAAUUUAAAUACCUUAACGAGGAACAAUUGGAGGGCAAGUCUGGUGCCAGCAGCCGCGGUAAUUCCAGCUCCAAUAGCGUAUAUUAAAGUUGUUGCAGUUAAAAAGCUCGUAGUUGAACCUUGGGCUUGGUCGGCCGGUCCGCCUCACUGGUGUGCACUGACCCGAUCGAGCCUUUUUUUCUGGGUAACUAUAGUGUUUUUUACUAAAUGCUAUAGGGAACCAGAACUUUUACUUUGAAAAAAUUAGAGUGUUCAAAGCAGGCAUACGCUCGAAUAUAUUAGCAUGGAAUAAUAGAAUAGGACGUACGGUUCUAUUUUGUUGGUUCUCUAGGACCGUCGUAAUGAUUAAUAGGGACAGUCGGGGGCAUCAGUAUUCAAUUGUCAGAGGUGAAAUUCUUGGAUUUAUUGAAGACUAACUACUGCGAAAGCAUUUGCCAAGGAUGUUUUCAUUAAUCAAGAACGAAAGUUAGGGGAUCGAAGACGAUCAGAUACCGUCGUAGUCUUAACCAUAAACUAUGCCGACUAGGGAUCGGGCGGUGUUCUUUUUUUGGCCCGCUCGGCACCUUACGAGAAAUCAAAGUCU
rnacentral:rRNA from 2 species